rnacentral:rRNA from 1 species
GCACUGCCGCGUGUNUGAAGAAGGCCUUCGGNUUCUGUAAACCGCUUUUUGUUNGGAAAGAACAUNCUNCGGGACUAAUACGCCCGGGACGGAUGACGGGUCCCUGAAAGAAUAAGCCACCGGCUUAACUCCGUUGCCAGCAGCCGCGGUAAUACGUAGGGUGCAAGCGUUAAUCGGAAUUACUGGGCGUAAAGCGNGCGCAGGCGGUUGUUCAAGACAGAUGUGAAAUCCCCGGGCUNAACCUGGGAACUGCAUUUGAAACUGCACGGCUAGAGUGCGGNAGAGGGGAGUGGAAUUCCNNGUGUAGCAGUGAAAUGCGUAGAUAUGCGGAGGAACACCGAUGGCGAANGCAGCUCCCUGGGCCUGCACUGACGCUNAUGCACGAAAGCGUGGGGAGCAAACAGGAUUAGAUACCCUGGUAGUCCACGCCCUAAACGAUG